CUGAACGCCUCUAAGUCAGAAUCCAUGCUGGAAGCGAUACUACUGUGNUUUUUUNCCCCUAGUUGNGNACAAANAAAGCUUCGGCUUGAAAACCUUACUUGCGGGAUAGGCUUUGCAGCGGAAAUGCUGUGAUUCACUACCCUGUGAUGAUAAUGCAAAUGAUCAAAGUGAUAAAUCGCAUGCAGACGACAUGAAAUGGACGGGGUAUUGUAAGUACUAGAGUAGCCUUUGUUGCUACGAUGUACUGAGAUUAAGCCCUUGUCAUUGAAUUUGUUCC
rnacentral:rRNA from 1 species